UACGGAGGGUGCGAGCGUUAAUCGGAAUUACUGGGCGUAAAGCGUGCGCAGGCGGGCUUUUAAGCCAGACGUGAAAGUCCCCGGGCUUAACCUGGGGAAUGGCGUUUGGGACUGGGAGUCUGGAGUGCGGCAGAGGAGACUGGAUUCCUGGUGUAGCAGUGAAAUGCGUGAGAUAUCAGGAGGAACGACCGCAUGGCGGAAGGCAGGUCUCUGGGCUGACACUGACGCUCAUGCACGAAAGCG
rnacentral:rRNA from 1 species